rnacentral:rRNA from 1 species
AGUCGAACGGCAGCACGGACUUCGGUCUGGUGGCGAGUGGCGAACGGGUGAGUAAUGUAUCGGAACGUGCCUAGUAGCGGGGGAUAACUACGCGAAAGCGCGCUAAUACCACAUACGCCCUUCCAGGAAAGCGGGGACCUUCGGGCCUCGCACUAUUGGAAGCGGCCGAUAUCGGAUUAGCUAGUUGGUGAGGUAACGGCUCACCAAGGCGACGAUCCGUAGCUGGUUUGAGAGGACGACCAAACCACUGGGACUGAGACACGGCCCAGACUCCUGCAGGAGGCAGCAGUGAGGAAUUUUGGACAAUGGGGGAAACCCUGAUCCAGCCAUCCCGCGUGUGCGAUGAAGAGGCCUUGGGUUGUAAAGCACUUUUUGGCAGGAAAGAAACGGCACGGGAUAAUACCCCGAUGCAACUGACGUACCUGCAGAAUAAGCGCGGCUAACUACGUGCCAGCAGCCGCGUGUUUUACGUAGGGUGCAAGCGUUAAUCGGAAUUACUGGGCGUAAGCGUGCGCAGGCGGUUCGGAAAGAAGAUGUGAAAUCCCAGAGCUUAACUUUGGAACUGCAUUUUUAACUACCGAGCUAGAGUGUGUCAGAGGGAGGUGGAAUUCCCGCGCAUCGUAGCAGUGAGAGUAACGUAAUGGAAAAUGCUGCGGAGGAACACCGAUGGCGAAAGGCAGCCUCCUGGGAUAACACUGACGCUCAUGCACGCAAAAAGCGUGGGGAGCAAACAGGAUUAGAUACCCUGAUGGUCCACCCUAAACGAUGUCGACAGCUGUUGGGGCCUUUGGGCCUUGGUGGCGCAACUAACGCGUGAAGUUGACCGCCUGGGGAGUACGGUCGCAAGAUUAAAACUCAAAGAAUUGACGGGGACCACCGCACAAGCGCGAGCGGAUGAUGUGGGAUAAUUCGAUGCAACGCGAAAAACACCUACCCUUAAUGUCUGGAAUGCCGAAGAGAUUUGGCAGUGCUCGCGAGAACAGGUUACAGGUGCUGCAUGGCUGUCGUCAGCUCGUGUCGUGAGAUGUUGGGUUAAGUCCCGCAACGAGCGCAACCCGCUGUCAUUAGUUGCUACGAAAGGGCACUCUAAUGGGGCGCGGUGAACAAACCGGAGGAAGGUGGGGAUGACGUCAAGUCCUCAUGGCCCUUAUGGGUAGGGCUUCACACGUCAUACAAUGGUCGGGACAGAGGGUCGCCGAACCCGCGAGAGGGAGCCAAUCCCAGAAACCCGAUCGUAGUCCGGAUCGCAGUCUGCAAGCUCGACGCUGCGUGAAGUCAGAAUCGCUAGUAAUCGCGGAUCAAUAUGUCGCGGUGAAUACGUUCCAGAUUGUGUACACACCGCCCGUCACACCAUGGGAGUGGGUUUUGCAGAAGUAGUUAGCCUAACCGCAAGAGGCGAUUACCACGGUAGGAUUCAUAGCUGGGGUGAAGUCGUAACAAGGUAG